GAUGAACGCUAGCGGCAGGCCUAAUACAUGCAAGUCGGACGGGAUUCAGGAGCUUGCUUCUGAUGAGAGUGGCGCACGGGUGCGUAACACGUAUGUAACCUACCUUUAUCAGUGGGGUAGCCUCUCGGAAGAGAGAUUAAGCCCGCAUAAAAUCACAGCACAGCCUUGUGUAGUGAUCAAAUAUUUCUAGGAUAAGGAUGGGCAUGCGGAACAUUAGCUAGAUGGCGGGGUAACGGCCCACCAGGGCGACGAUGUUUAGGGGAUCUGAGAGGAUGGCCCCCCACACUGGGACUGAGACAAGGACCAGACUCAUACGGGAGGAAGCAGUAAGGAAUAUUGGUCAAUGGGCGGAAGCAUGAACCAGCCAUGCCGGGUGCAGGAAGACGGCCCUACGGGUUGUAAACUGCUUUUAUACGGGAAUAAACCCAGAUACGUGUAUCUGGCUGAAUGUACUGUAAGAAUAAGAAUCGGCUAACUACGUG
rnacentral:rRNA from 1 species